rnacentral:lncRNA from 1 species
AUCUGGGGCGCAGGGGGACAGAGGAGAGCAGAUGGCAUCAUUUGCACAAGCUGAUUGGGAGUCUUCUCUCAAUACCCUCCUGCCUGCCCCAAGAACCUCGCAAGGCCAGCCUGCCCCGUGCAGCUGGAAGGUAGGUUCAGAUGCACCAGGUGUGGGUGGGGGCUGUGGCAGGGCAUGCUUGGCGGGGUCUCGAGGCCGGGCACAGCUGGGGCUGAAAUUAUGACUUCAUCUGCGUGCUCCCCGGGGGCUGCCCUGCGUCCUUAUCCUAAGGAAGUGAAAUCACUUCUCACACAUUCUCCCCGACACCCGCGGCCCAGUGGGCCAAGAGAGGCAGCAAGCCACUGCCACAUUUUAAGGGACAGCCGGGAAGCCAGAGACAGCUGCAGACUUGUCCAAGCAGAGAAUUAAGACCCAGCAGCCUGUCGCCCACCCAAGCCAGGCCGGGGAAUGGCCUCCUGGACACCGGGGACAGAAUCCCAAAGGAUCCCGAGAAGGAGCUGGAGGGGGCAUCCUGCCAGCAAGGAAGGGCUGGCCAAGGCCACAGGGCUCAGGUGACAGCCUCCAGAGCCAGCCACCCCUCUCCACCGUGUCAUGGCCCAGCCCAGCCUGACGCACAGAGCCACAUGACAGCUCCUUCCACCCUCCCGUGCUCUCUGUGGUCCUAGAAGCUGCUUCCCAGGCUCUGAGGACCUCCCUCUCCUGGGCCGUGCCCCAGUCCCACGGUGUCAGGCAGGCAGUCAGCAUCGUCUUCUUCCCACUCAGGGCUGUCACUGUCACGCCCAACCACUGUCACACUCCACAGACAAGGAGAGGCACCCUGUCAUGGUGGCAGGAAUACAAUAGGUCACAGAUGCUGUAGAGCACAGCACGUACAGAGCAGUGGACUCGGU